UUAAGCGACUAAGCGUACACGGUGGAUGCCCUGGCAGUCAGAGGCGAUGAAGGACGUGCUAAUCUGCGAAAAGCGCCGGCGAGGUGAUAUGAACCUUUGACCCGGCGAUGUCCGAAUGGGGAAACCCAGUGCAAUUCGUUGCACUAUCGUUAACUGAAUACAUAGGUUAACGAGGCGAACCGGGGGAACUGAAACAUCUAAGUACCCCGAGGAAAAGAAAUCAACCGAGAUUCCCCCAGUAGCGGCGAGCGAACGGGGAGCAGCCCAGAGUCUGAAUCAGCUUGUGUGUUAGUGGAAGCGUCUGGAAAGUCGCACGGUACAGGGUGAAAGUCCCGUACACGAAAACACACAGGUUGUGAACUCGAAGAGUAGGGCGGGACACGUGGUAUCCUGUCUGAAUAUGGGGGGACCAUCCUCCAAGGCUAAAUACUCCUGACUGACCGAUAGUGAACCAGUACCGUGAGGGAAAGGCGAAAAGAACCCCGGCGAGGGGAGUGAAAAAGAACCUGAAACCGUGUACGUACAAGCAGUGGGAGCACCUUCGUGGUGUGACUGCGUACCUUUUGUAUAAUGGGUCAGCGACUUAUAUUCUGUAGCAAGGUUAACCGUAUAGGGGAGCCGAAGGGAAACCGAGUCUUAACUGGGCGUUAAGUUGCAGGGUAUAGACCCGAAACCCGGUGAUCUAGCCAUGGGCAGGUUGAAGGUUGGGUAACACUAACUGGAGGACCGAACCGACUAAUGUUGAAAAAUUAGCGGAUGACUUGUGGCUGGGGGUGAAAGGCCAAUCAAACCGGGAGAUAGCUGGUUCUCCCCGAAAGCUAUUUAGGUAGCGCCUCGUGAACUCAUCUUCGGGGGUAGAGCACUGUUUCGGCUAGGGGGCCAUCCCGGCUUACCAACCCGAUGCAAACUACGAAUACCGAAGAAUGUUAUCACGGGAGACACACGGCGGGUGCUAACGUCCGUCGUGAAGAGGGAAACAACCCAGACCGCCAGCUAAGGUCCCAAAGUCAUGGUUAAGUGGGAAACGAUGUGGGAAGGCACAGACAGCCAGGAUGUUGGCUUAGAAGCAGCCAUCAUUUAAAGAAAGCGUAAUAGCUCACUGGUCGAGUCGGCCUGCGCGGAAGAUGUAACGGGGCUAAACCAUGCACCGAAGCUGCGGCAGCGACACUUAGGUGUUGUUGGGUAGGGGAGCGUUCUGUAAGCCGUUGAAGGUGUGCUGUGAGGCAUGCUGGAGGUAUCAGAAGUGCGAAUGCUGACAUAAGUAACGAUAAAGCGGGUGAAAAGCCCGCUCGCCGGAAGACCAAGGGUUCCUGUCCAACGUUAAUCGGGGCAGGGUGAGUCGACCCCUAAGGCGAGGCCGAAAGGCGUAGUCGAUGGGAAACAGGUUAAUAUUCCUGUACUUGGUGUUACUGCGAAGGGGGGACGGAGAAGGCUAUGUUAGCCGGGCGACGGUUGUCCCGGUUUAAGCAUGUAGGCGGAGGUUCCAGGUAAAUCCGGUACCUUAUUAACGCUGAGGUGUGAUGACGAGGCACUACGGUGCUGAAGUAACAAAUGCCCUGCUUCCAGGAAAAGCCUCUAAGCAUCAGGUAACAUCAAAUCGUACCCCAAACCGACACAGGUGGUCAGGUAGAGAAUACCAAGGCGCUUGAGAGAACUCGGGUGAAGGAACUAGGCAAAAUGGUGCCGUAACUUCGGGAGAAGGCACGCUGAUAUGUAGGUGAAGCCCCUGCGGGUGGAGCUGAAAUCAGUCGAAGAUACCAGCUGGCUGCAACUGUUUAUUAAAAACACAGCACUGUGCAAACACGAAAGUGGACGUAUACGGUGUGACGCCUGCCCGGUGCCGGAAGGUUAAUUGAUGGGGUUAGCGGUAACGCGAAGCUCUUGAUCGAAGCCCCGGUAAACGGCGGCCGUAACUAUAACGGUCCUAAGGUAGCGAAAUUCCUUGUCGGGUAAGUUCCGACCUGCACGAAUGGCGUAAUGAUGGCCAGGCUGUCUCCACCCGAGACUCAGUGAAAUUGAACUCGCUGUGAAGAUGCAGUGUACCCGCGGCAAGACGGAAAGACCCCGUGAACCUUUACUAUAGCUUGACACUGAACACUGGUCCUUGAUGUGUAGGAUAGGUGGGAGGCUUUGAAGCGUGGACGCCAGUCUGCGUGGAGCCGUCCUUGAAAUACCACCCUUUAAUGGCUGGUGUUCUAACGUAGACCCGUAAUCCGGGUUGCGGACAGUGUCUGGUGGGUAGUUUGACUGGGGCGGUCUCCUCCCAAAGAGUAACGGAGGAGCACGAAGGUUAGCUAAUCCUGGUCGGACAUCAGGAGGUUAGUGCAAUGGCAUAAGCUAGCUUGACUGCGAGAGUGACGGCUCGAGCAGGUGCGAAAGCAGGUCAUAGUGAUCCGGUGGUUCUGAAUGGAAGGGCCAUCGCUCAACGGAUAAAAGGUACUCCGGGGAUAACAGGCUGAUACCGCCCAAGAGUUCAUAUCGACGGCGGUGUUUGGCACCUCGAUGUCGGCUCAUCACAUCCUGGGGCUGAAGUAGGUCCCAAGGGUAUGGCUGUUCGCCAUUUAAAGUGGUACGCGAGCUGGGUUUAGAACGUCGUGAGACAGUUCGGUCCCUAUCUGCCGUGGGCGCUGGAGAAUUGAGGGGGGCUGCUCCUAGUACGAGAGGACCGGAGUGGACGCAUCACUGGUGUUCGGGUUGUCAUGCCAAUGGCACUGCCCGGUAGCUAAAUGCGGAAAAGAUAAGUGCUGAAAGCAUCUAAGCACGAAACUUGCCCCGAGAUGAGUUCUCCCUGA
rnacentral:rRNA from 1 species